rnacentral:rRNA from 1 species
UAAGCAUCAGGUAACAUCAAAUCGUACCCCAAACCGACACAGGUGGUCAGGUAGAGAAUACCAAGGCGCUUGAGAGAACUCGGGUGAAGGAACUAGGCAAAAUGGUGCCGUAACUUCGGGAGAAGGCACGCUGACACGUAGGUGAAGUGAUUUACUCAUGGAGCUGAAGUCAGUCGAAGAUACCAGCUGGCUGCAACUGUUUAUUAAAAACACAGCACUGUGCAAACACGAAAGUGGACGUAUACGGUGUGACGCCUGCCCGGUGCCGGAAGGUUAAUUGAUGGGGUCAGCGCAAGCGAAGCUCCUGAUCGAAGCCCCGGUAAACGGCGGCCGUAACUAUAACGGUCCUAAGGUAGCGAAAUUCCUUGUCGGGUAAGUUCCGACCUGCACGAAUGGCGUAAUGAUGGCCAGGCUGUCUCCACCCGAGACUCAGUGAAAUUGAACUCGCUGUGAAGAUGCAGUGUACCCGCGGCAAGACGGAAAGACCCCGUGAACCUUUACUAUAGCUUGACACUGAACAUUGAGCCUUGAUGUGUAGGAUAGGUGGGAGGCUUUGAAGUGUGGACGCCAGUCUGCAUGGAGCCGGCCUUGAAAUACCACCCUUUAAUGUUUGAUGUUCUAACGUGGACCCGUGAUCCGGGUUGCGGACAGUGUCUGGUGGGUAGUUUGACUGGGGCGGUCUCCUCCUAAAGAGUAACGGAGGAGCACGAAGGUUGGCUAAUCCUGGUCGGACAUCAGGAGGUUAGUGCAAUGGCAUAAGCCAGCUUGACUGCGAGCGUGACGGCGCGAGCAGGUGCGAAAGCAGGUCAUAGUGAUCCGGUGGUUCUGAAUGGAAGGGCCAUCGCUCAACGGAUAAAAGGUACUCCGGGGAUAACAGGCUGAUACCGCCCAAGAGUUCAUAUCGACGGCGGUGUUUGGCACCUCGAUGUCGGCUCAUCACAUCCUGGGGCUGAAGUAGGUCCCAAGGGUAUGGCUGUUCGCCAUUUAAAGUGGUACGCGAGCUGGGUUUAGAACGUCGUGAGACAGUUCGGUCCCUAUCUGCCGUGGGCGCUGGAGAACUGAGGGGGGCUGCUCCUAGUACGAGAGGACCGGAGUGGACGCAUCACUGGUGUUCGGGUUGUCAUGCCAAUGGCACUGCCCGGUAGCUAAAUGCGGAAGAGAUAAGUGCUGAAAGCAUCUAAGCACGAAACUUGCCCCGAGAUGAGUUCUCCCUGAGACUUAGAGUCUCCUGAAGGAACGUUGAAGACGACGACGUUGAUAGGCCGGGUGUGUAAGCGCAGCGAUGCGUUGAGCUAACCGGUACUAAUGAACCGUGAGGCUUAACCUUACA